rnacentral:lncRNA from 1 species
GAUCCUUUGAAUGUAGGUGUGACAAUGUGUGUCACACCUUUGCUUGCUCAACUUGAUGAAUUUAUUUGCCUUGCCAAUUAAAUUCCAAUUGAUGUGAUUUUUUGUAUGAUGCUUCUUCUGGAUGUUAGGAUUGCUCAUGAUAUUUUGUGGAAUUUUUGGAUUCAUUUCUGAUUUGUUUGAGAUUUUUCUUUCUGGACUACCAUUUGUGAACUUUU